rnacentral:lncRNA from 1 species
UCCCCUGUCCUGGCCUAUUUUAGCCGUAGCCUGCUCAUUCCCCUCAAUUGGGCCUUGCUCAUUUGGCCCACUCAAACUCCCCCUAUCCAGAUUAGUUGGGCUUGCUAAGGGCCUAUUCUGAUAGGUCCCAUUAGUGCCCUCAUUUAAAUCCUGCUCGCCUGAGCUUAUUUUUCGCUCAAUAUCCCUUUGAAAAUUGGGCUUAUCUAUUUCAAUUAAAAGGGGCAUGACCGGUGCAAGCUCAUC